CACUUUUUAGGUACUUAAGAGUCAGAUUUCGAGUUUGACCUUAUUCUUUGCUUUUCACCACUUUCCUACCUUUAUUAGACUAAGUUAGACUAGUUAGGAUGUUUACAUACCUUAGAAUAAGUCUACAUUANGUGAAUUGACCAAUUAUCACUUUAAAAGCUCACUUUUUAGGUACUUAAGAGUCAAAUUUCGAGUUUGACCUUAUUCUUUGCUUUUCACCACUUUCCUACCUUCAUUAGACUAAGUUAGACUUGUUAGGAUGUUUACAUACCUUAGAAUAAGUAUACAUUAGGUGAAUUGACCAAUUAUCACUUUAAAAACUCACUUUUUAGGUACUUAAGAGUCAAAUUUCGAGUUUGACCUUAU
rnacentral:lncRNA from 1 species